UCCUAGUGUCAAAUAAUUGAUUGAAUGAUUGAUUGAUAAGUAUCACUCAGUGAUAAGAAUGGAGUUCAGAAGAGUGCAGCUAUGCACAUCAGCAAGCUUCUAUGUGACACUGGAAGGGGGACUGCUCUUCUCCAUCUCUAUAUGCAAACUAAAUAUGAGGUGACGUUGACAGCUCAAGCAACUACAAGUACAAUUGGGGAAUGUACCUGAUGUUAUGUCUCAUCAUCUUGGGUCAUCUGCAAAGAACCAAGGAUAUUCCUGCCAGGACUUUGCAUUUCCUACAGAGAUGAUGGGGACACGUGACGGCAUUCCCUUCAUGUCCCUACUUUCGCGCGCAUUCACUUAGUGCAAUUGAUGCAACUUUUUCUAGGUGGCUGCCUUGUGGGAAGAACACUCUGCAUUCUUCUCCAUCCAUAACUGGUUUGGCUUUCAGGACUGGAAGAGGCGCAUCCAAUCUGCAACAAGGAGCCUUCAGGUUUGGGCUACCCCUGAACAGAAAGGAGCCAAUCAGCAUCUUCGCAGCUCAACCUUGACACACCCUUCCUGCUGCACCGCCUUGAACUUCCCAGUGAGCCUGUGGGCUCUGUGGUUAACGGGGCUGUGCUGUCCUGAGCGGCAGAUACUGACAAAGCAGUUAUCUUCAUGGCUGGCGGCAACACAAUCCUAUAAAUUGGCCACCUACGUGGAAAACUCUUGAGAUCUGCUUCCUCCCUCAACUUCUAUCUACACAGAUGCCCGCCUGAAAUUCCAUUUCUGGGACAGUAUCUCCUUCCUACAACCGGGCAUGUUUUCUUUUCCAUUGUCAGAAAAAGCAGAGCACACAGACCCAAAGUUCUACAAAGUACAACAACGCUAGCUGGCCACCCACGACCCAGCAAGAGAGCAAGCAGCUUGCCUCUAAUGAACUUUCUCUUCCUAGUCCUCAAUUCCAACUGUUAUGUGGGAGAAAUUAAUCCUAGUGGAAAUGACUAGAGUUUCCUCACACUAUUGAUAAGUGUGUCACUCUUGAAACAGUUGUGUGCAAAUCAUCCUUGGAAAAAGAUAUUUGUCUAGAUUUCAACUCAUCAUUCAGGUGGCAUUUUAUGAGGAAUGGAAAAAAAACUGUGUGUGUGUGUGUGUGUGUGUGUGGUGUACACAAUAUGAUGGAGGUGGUUUUUCAAUUGGGGGUCUCUCUUCCCAGAUGGAUCUAGUUUGUAUCAAGGUGACAAGGAAACUAACCGGGACAGGGGCCUCACCCCUUUAUUCCUUCUCUCUGAUUUUGCUGUUUGACUCUCAAGAUGAGCAGUUUGUGCAUCUCCCACACUCUUCCACCAAAUGCCAAGCCUCACAACAGGCCCAAGUGAGGCCACUUACUCACAGAUAGCAACCUCCAAACUGUGAGUCAAGGUAAAGCCUUUCUUUUCUAAGUUAAUUGGCUGAGGAAAGUUGACCAAAACACCGUAACAGACACCUAGCCUUGUGAUUGGCCAGAAUAUAUUAGAAUUGUGUUUUUGUCUCUCCAGACAGAAACAGUACUGGUGUAUCAUUCAGAUGCUUGUUUGUUUGUUCAGAUGCUUCAUUCUCAUUGUCAGUCUGUUUGGUUGUUUUUUUUUUGUUUGUUUGUUUGUUUGUUUUUUCCCCUCAGUAGUGUUCACACUUACUGACUUAAUUAUUUACUCAUGGCUAUGUUGAUCUUUUUUGUCCCCUGGCCUCCUCCAGCUGGGACAUAAAUGCUACAAACAUGGUCUUUGUUCAGUGAUGUAUUUCAAGCGCCUAAAAUAGUGUCUCGGAUAUAGUAGGUUCUCUUUUUUUUAUUUUUUUUUAUUUUUUAUUUUUUUAGUAGGUUCUCAAUAAAUACUUGUUGCAUAAAUGAACAAGGAAAAAGAAGACAGCACAUUGUACUGCAGGUAAAAUGGUGGGAACUUGCUGUCCUGUUGUGGUUAAAGCCAGAAGACUGUAUUAAAUAAAGGCUAAGAAGAACAUUUAUGAAGCAGA